GGUGGAUGAUGUGUUUAAUUCGAUGCAACGCGAAAACCUUACCACCUUUGACAUGGCAGGAAUCCUAAAGAGAUUUUGGAGUGCUCGAAAGAGAACCUGCACACAGGUGCUGCAUGGCUGUCGUCAGCUCGUGUCGUGAGAUGUUGGGUUAAGUCCCGCAACGAGCGCAACCCUUGCCAUUAGUUGCUACGAAAGGGCACUCUAAUGGGACUGCCGGUGACAAACCGGAGGAAGGUGGGGAUGACGUCAAGUCCUCAUGGCCCUUAUAGGUGGGGCUACACACGUCAUACAAUGGCCGGUACAGAGGGUAGCCAACCCGCGAGGGGGAGCCAAUCCCACAAAGCCGGUCGUAGUCCGGAUCGCAGUCUGCAACUCGACUGCGUGAAGUCGGAAUCGCUAGUAAUCGCGGAUCAGCAUGUCGCGGUGAAUACGUUCCCGGGUCUU
rnacentral:rRNA from 1 species